rnacentral:lncRNA from 1 species
GCUAACGCGAAAUGGCUUUCUCUGAUAGGGGCUCGCUUCUUCAAGCGGAGCUUACUGCUUUUCAUUUUGAUAAGAGUAGGUGCUUGCUGCUCGUUAAAGCCGUAGCUUGCUGCUCGCUUGCUGUCUACUAAACGAGCCUUUACUGUCCGCCCAGGGCCCUUAUCUUUAAUCUUAAGUAAAGUGAAGUCAAAUCAAUGAAGUGAACAGCCCAACCUCUUAGUUUGAAGCUUUUC